rnacentral:rRNA from 1 species
GACGAACGCUGGCGGCGUGCUUAACACAUGCAAGUCGAACGAAGAGCGAUGGAAGCUUGCUUCUAUCAAUCUUAGUGGCGCACGGGUGAGUAACGCGUAAUCAACCUUCCCUUCAGAGGGGGACAACAGUUGGAAACGACUGCUAAUACCGCAUACGAUCCAAUCUCGGCAUCGGGACUGGAUGAAAGGUGGCCUCUAUUUAUAAGCUAUCACUGAAGGAGGGGAGUGCGUCUGAUUAGCUAGUUGGAGGGGUAACGGCCCACCAAGGCGAUGAUCAGUAGCCGGUCUGAGAGGAUGAACGGCCACAUUGGGACUGAGACACGGCCCAGACUCCUACGGGAAGCAGCAGUGGGGAAUCUUCCGCAAUGGACGAAAGUCUGACGGAGCAACGCCGCGUGAGUGAUGACGGCCUUCGGGUUGUAAAGCUCUGUUAAUCGGGACGAAUGGUUCUUGUGCGAAUAGUGCGAGGAUUUGACGGUACCGGAAUAGAAAGCCACGGCUAACUACGUG